UAUGAACUUGAAAAAUUCCCAGAGAUCUUGGAGCCAAUGGAACAUUUGGUGUCUCUUCGUUUGCAAGGGACAGCUGUCAAAAUGCUUCCUUCGUCUAUUGGAAAUCUAAUUACUCUUCAAACUUUAGACCUUAGUGGCUGCAAGCACCUUGUGAGUCUACCAACCAACAUUUGUAGGUUGAAAAAUCUGAAGGAACUCAAUCUCUAUGGCUGCUUUGAACUUGAAAAAUUCCCAGAGAUCUUGGAGCCAAUGGAACAUUUGGUGUCUCUUCGUUUGCAAGGGACAGCUGUCAAAAUGCUUCCUUCGUCUAUUGGAAAUCUAAUUACUCUUCAAACUUUAGACCUUAGUGGCUGCAAGCACCUUGUGAGUCUACCAACCAACAUUUGUAAGUUGAAAAAUCUGAAGGAACUCAAUCUCUAUGGCUGCUCUGAACUUGAAAAAUUCCCAAAGAUCUUGGAGCCAAUGGAACAUUUGGUGUCUCUUCGUUUGCAAGGGACAGCUGUCAAAAUGCUUCCUUCGUCUAUUGGAAAUCUAAUUAGUCUUCCAACUUUAGACCUUAGUGGCUGCAAGCACCUUGUGAGUCUACCAACCAACAUUUGUAAGUUGAAAAAUCUGAAGCAACUCAAUCUCUCUGGCUGCUUUGAACUUGAAAACUUCCCAGAGAUCUUGGAGCCAAUGGAACAUUUGGUGUCUCUUUGUUUGCAAGGGACAGCUGUCAAAAUGCUUCCUUCGUCUAUUGGAAAUCUAAUUAGUCUUCAAACUUUAGACCUUUGUGGCUGCAAGCACCUUGUGAAUCUACCAACCAACAUUUGUAAGUUGAAAUAUCUGGAGGAACUCAAUCUCUCUGGCUGCUCUGAACUUGAAAACUUCCCAGAGAUCUUGGAGCCAAUGGAACAUUUGGUGUCUCUUAGUUUGCAAGGGGCAGCUGUCAAAAUGCUUCCUUCGUCUAUUGGAAAUCUAAUUAGUCUUCAAACUUUAGACCUUCGUGGCUGCAAGCACCUUGUGAGUCUACCAACCAACAUUUGUAAGUUGAAAUAUCUGGAGGAACUCAAUCUCUCUGGCUGCUCUGAACUUGAAAACUUCCCAGAGAUCAUAAAGCCAAUGGAACAUUUGAAGUACUUAAAUUUAAGUGGAACAACGGUUA
rnacentral:lncRNA from 1 species